GGAGUAAUAGUUUAAUGUAAUGCUGCUUUUGUAAUGCAGAGGUGUGGUUUGAUACUGCUUCU
rnacentral:tRNA from 1 species